AUUGAACACUGGCGGCAGGCCUAACACAUGCAAGUCGAACGAGUGGCGGACGGGUGAGUAAUGACUGGGAAACUGCCCGAUGGAGGGGGAUAACUACUGGAAACGGUAGCUAAUACCGCAUACCAUCGGAUGCGUCCAGAUGGGAUUAGCUAGUAGGUGGGGUAACGGCUCACCUAGGCGCCGAGCCCUAGCUGGUCUGAGAGGAUGACCAGCCACCCUGGAACUGAUACACGUUCCAGACUCCUACGGGAGGCAGCAGUGGGGAAUAUUGCACAAUGGGCGAAAGCCUGAGGCAGCCAUGCCGCGUGUAUGAAGAAGGCCUUCGGGUUGUAAAGUACUUUCAGCGAGGAGGCGUUACUCGCAGAAGAAGCACCGGCUAACUCCGUGCCAGCAGCCGCGGUAAUUC
rnacentral:rRNA from 1 species